ACAACUGACCCAUCAACACAUGAUGACCGGCCCAUCCCCAACUUUUCCUGGCCUUCCCGACCCCGCGCACCACCGUGCAUCUCCCCGCCGCGCGCCGCCGUACAUCCCGACACCUGCUCCUGCCGGCGUCGCCUGAGGCCACCGCCAGCCUCCCCUCGACACCACGCGCCGACGACCACCACCAACUUCCCCCUGAGGCGUCGCGCCGCCGGCCACCACCAACCUCCCCCAGACGCCGCGCGCCAACCGCCACCACCAUCCUCCCCCACGCCUCGCGCCUCCGGCCACCACCAACCUCCCCCGGACGCCGCGCGCCGACGAUCACCACCUUAAUUUAGUCCGACGGGCUGGUGGGAUCGACCACCUCCUCCGGCGACCCCUCUGCUGACCUCCUGUCGUUGCCCCGCUACAAUCUUUCUCCCGCGGCCGCGCCCGAUCCAAUGUCGCCGGCUUCCGCCGUGCGCCACCCAUGCCGACAGCAAGGCGACACCCACCUGUAGCACAACCUCCCACACCACCCUGGCUUCCCCACCUACAACACAACCUCUCGUCCGUGCAGCCACGCAGUCCAACUGCGUGCGACAUCCCUGUUCGACCUCUCCAGCCUUUGCAACCCCGUGUCCCGCCACCGUCCCGUGGGUAGUCCAACCUGAGGCCACGGAUGUGUGGACAGAGACGGCGUGGUUUGAGAGGAAGAAGAAGGCAUUACGGCGAACUUAGUCGCGGAUGGAUCAAUCGAGCCGAGGUGCCCCUGCAAGUCUCUCUCACACGCAAAUUAUGCUGUGCCACCAUAGGGAACUAGCCCAUCCUUAUCUUACGGAAGUGGAUCUCAAUGGUUUGAAGGGUACUACAGUUAAAAGUGGCUGGGAAUUAAAGUUCAAGUUAGGUAACUACAAGGUCUAUAUGAAUUGUAACCUAUUGAUUAUAGAGUUUGUGUGUUUUCAUGUUUACUGCAAGAGAAACUCCUCCAUCCUGUCCCCUGUCGCAGCCCAACCGCUUGCUGCCAACGUGCUCUAACCCUAGUGCCUCCAUGAUGGAGGUCGUCUCACAGCCUAGCGACGAGGUAACUCAUCUUCCUUGUCCCUCUCUCUCAAUAUUUUGCAGACCACCAUUUUCUUUAGUAAUUAAUAAUGCCGUAGUCCAGUGUGUUGAUCUUCUCCAGUCCAAUGUGUUCUUGGCUGGCUGGAUACUCUAGCUGUCUGUUGUUUUUCAUUCGGUUCAGGUUGCUCUGGGAUUUGUCCAUGUUCAGAAGGGAGGUAAUUAACUUGGGUGUCCAGUUCUGAAGCUGGAGUAGUACAUACUGUAUAAAUGAGCAAAACCCCAAUCAAACUUUAAUAAGUGCGUACAAAUAAAAAAUGUUGCAUUGUACUAAUAAAAAACAGAGGGAAUACAUGAUGUAUUCAUGCUCCUAGCUACAUACAGUAGUAUGUACUGCUUCUCAAAAGCAGGAGACUGGAAAUGUAUUCCGCUCUUUUGCUGGUAGUACUUGUGAUUUGGCUUCUAAAUUUUAUAAGCUGCUGAUGAACUCAAUGUACGACUAACCUGCAACUGUGAUAUUGGUGAGUUUCAAAUUAUGAAAGCAGCACAAACAUUUAUAACGUUCUAUGGUUGACAAAAUGAAAUUUUACUACCUACAGGACUUGUGUGUGCUCAGGUUCUCCUCGCAUGUCACUCCGUCGUUGUUGUCUCUCCUGGAUGUUGUCUGCAGCUGGACGUCGUCCGCUGGCUGCUCCUGCACAGGCUGCUUCAAGUGAAGUAUGAUUCGGAAAACUGUGCGAAGUAUGAUUCAGGAAACAUACUUCAUGGGCAUUCCUCAUCAUAGAUUCAGGAAACCAAUGUUAUCUUGUAUAGAUGGUGUCAACAAAAAGAAAAAAGAAAAUGUGUUCUCACGUUUCUGAUUAGUGUGCCCACUAGAUGUUUCCAGAAAAGAAAAAGAAGAAAUGUAGUUGAAGUUGUUCUCUAGUACAAGACACUUAUGGAAAAGAAGAAGAAAUGCAAAACUUACAAACAA